rnacentral:rRNA from 1 species
UACGUAGGGUGCAAGCGUUUAAUCGGAAUUACUGGGCGUAAAGCGUGCGCAGGCGGUUUUGUAAGUUUGUCGUGAAAUCCCCGGGCUCAACCUGGGAACUGCGUUUGUGACUGUAUGACUAGAGUACGGUAGAGAGGGGUGGAAUUCCUGGUGUAGCAGUGAAAUGCGUAGAUAUCAGGAGGAACAUCGAUGGCGAAGGCAGCCCCUUGGACCUGUACUGACGCUCAUGCAACGAAAGCGUGGGGAGCAAACAGG